rnacentral:lncRNA from 1 species
CCCCCAAAACUUGCACAAAUAAAGGAGAAGAAGGUCCCUGCAGUUAAUGCUGAAUCCGGCGACCAAUCUAGUGAUAACCAGAACAACCCCCUGGCGGUGACCCAGUUGAAGCUUGCACAAAUUGAGAAGAGAGCUCCAAGAGUGCCCCGUCCACCUCCCACGGCAUCAGCCAUUGCUUCUGGACCUACCAAUACUGCAAGCGGUGCACCUCCGCCGCCACGCCCACCUGGUGCACCUCCUCCUCCACCACCUCCUGGGAAACCUGGCGGCCCACCGCCACCGCCGCCUCCUCCUGGGUCUCUAUCCAGGAGCCUCGCUGGUGGUGAAAAGGUACACCGUGCUCCGGAGGUCGUGGAGUUUUAUCAGAGUCUCAUGAAGCG